rnacentral:misc_RNA from 1 species
AUUUCCGUCAACCUCUUCCUCUUUUGAUCAUCAAAUAAAGAUAUAAAAUUCAUAUAUGUCAACUCAGUGAGUUUCUUCUUCCCGUUUUUUCUCUAUCCGAGUCUCAAUAGCUGACUCCGAGUUGUUGACUCUCUGAUCUCUCGGCGAUGAAGAGUGGCCUGGAAGUCUUGGAUUUCAAGGAAGAAGACGAGCUCGCUGAAUAUUCAGCUGGUAAAAUCCUUAGCAAGUUCAAAAACCCUAGCCUUAACAAUCCCGCCUUUUUGAAAUGCA